rnacentral:rRNA from 1 species
GCGAACGGACGAGAAGCUUGCUUCUCUGAUGUUAGCGGCGGACGGGUGAGUAACACGUGGAUAACCUACCUAUAAGACUGGGAUAACUUCGGGAAACCGGAGCUAAUACCGGAUAAUAUUUUGAACCGCAUGGUUCAAAAGUGAAAGACGGUCUUGCUGUCACUUAUAGAUGGAUCCGCGCUGCAUUAGCUAGUUGGUAAGGUAACGGCUUACCAAGGCAACGAUGCAUAGCCGACCUGAGAGGGUGAUCGGCCACACUGGAACUGAGACACGGUCCAGACUCCUACGGGAGGCAGCAUUAGGGAAUCUUCCGCAAUGGGCGAAAGCCUGACGGAGCAACGCCGCGUGAGUGAUGAAAGUCUUCGGAUCGUAAAACUCUGUUAUUAGGGAAGAACAUAUGUGUAAGUAACUGUGCACAUCUUGACGGUACCUAAUCAGAAAGCCACGGCUAACUACGUGCCAGCAGCCGCGGUAAUACGUAGGUGGCAAGCGUUAUCCGGAAUUAUUGGGCGUAAAGCGCGCGUAGGCGGUUUUUUAAGUCUGAUGUGAAAGCCCACGGCUCAACCGUGGAGGGUCAUUGGAAACUGGAAAACUUGAGUGCAGAAGAGGAAAGUGGAAUUCCAUGUGUAGCGGUGAAAUGCGCAGAGAUAUGGAGGAACACCAGUGGCGAAGGCGACUUUCUGGUCUGU